GUUAAUCUGUUUGACCCCUUUAGGAAUUCUUGGACCCCAUCCCAGGUGUAUGCAACACAAUCUGAGAAUCCAGAGCAGUCCAGAGCAGAGCAAGGGAGGACCUUGGAGGUCACCCUGACCAAGACUGAUCCUGUUUCAGAGGCAAAAUGGAGACCAGGAAAGGACAAACAGAUUGACUGAGGUAUCAAAGAGAGUUAAUUGGCAAAACAGGAACUUGAACUCAGAUAUCUGGGGACCAGAGUCUUGGACAUUUUCUAGAUCCUUAUCUAGGUCUGGAAAGUGGAUUGGUUUGGGGGGCUUUUAUGUAGGGUUGGCUAAUGUUAAAAUUUGAAUCCUGCGUUAUUAGUGUAGUUAUGUGAACUUGUUGAUUGUUUUGGGGGUACAGAGCUGAGGUUUGCAAACAUGCUAAGUUUCUGCAAAUAACCAAGGUAGGUAGUUCCUGGGCCUAGGCAUUUCAGGGGUCAUAAGAAAGCCCUUUGUAUUCCUACCUGGUAAUGGAUAGCCACUGGAAGACUUUUGUACUUAUAGGUAUGGCUGGUACUCUGAAGCAUGUGGAUGACUAGAGUUUAGAUGUCAUUCUGAGACUAAACAAAUCAUAAGGAUUUUCACACCAGGGGAUUAUAUGUUCAUGUGUUAAUUUUGAGAGUAUCUGGCAGCAGGUGAAGUAACUGGAAGCAGGGAGGCAGUUAGAGGGUCAGUCAGAUGUGCACAUUUGCAACCCAUCAGCUCAUGUGACUGAUGAUAUGGUUUGAACCAAGGUAAAGGUCAAGGCCAGUAGAGAGGAGAGGACAAAUUCAAGAAUAUGUUUAGCAGGUCUUUAGCUUGGGCAAGUAUUUGAUUGUGCAGCCGCUGAUCAGGGAAGAGGAAGGAAUUUAGUUUGAAAAAAUAAUGUGUCUUAAUUUAUCCUAAAGCUGUGCUGACUUAGAAGGAGGAGCAUUCAUAGUAAACUGUAAUCAACUGAUGAAAAUUCAUUAUAAACAGGGUGAGCAGAUCUUCUUCUGAGAGCCAGUUUUGAAAGGGAAAGAAAGCAUGAAGUUAUUUAAUGCUACAAAACGAUAAGAGUGAGCAGGGAGACACAACCUUUACAAUCUCAUGUGGAGGUUUGGAGUUUAGUUUUAAAACCAGGCAGAUUUGUUUCUUUUUUUUUUUUUUCUGGAAAGUGCUGUGGAUUGAGUUCAGGGUCUUGCACUUGCUAGGCAAGUGUUCUACCACUGAGCACACACCUAACCCCCCGCCUACCUUUCCUUAUUAAAAAGCAGUAUGAAGCAGGGUAUCUAACUCAGUGAUAGAGCGCUUGCCUCACAUGUGUGAGAUCUUGUUUUUCUAACAAAUCCCAGGUGAUGCUAAUGCUGCUGGUCCAAGGACCACAUUUUAAGAACAACUACUAUAGAGAGCUUGCAUUAGUUUUCUAGGCUUAUCAUAACAAAGUACCACAAACUGAGUAUUUCAAACAAUAGAAAAUGAUUGUCUCCCAGUUCUGGAAGCUGCAAGUCUGCAAUCAAAGUCUUGUCAGGAUUGGUUCCUUCUAAGGGCUGUGAUGGAAGGCUCUGUUCUCUAGGCUUGGUAUUCUUCAUAUAUGUGUAUCUCCAUAUCCAAAUUUCUUCUUUUUAUAAAAACACCAUCCACAUGGGGUUAGAUACUACCCUAAUGACCUAUUUUAACUUGGUCACUCCUGUAAUGACUCUAUGUCCAAUUGUCACAUUCUGAGCAACUGAGGGUUAGGAUUUUAAUAUUUUAAUUUGUUAUGGGGUGGGCAAUGGGAGGCACAAUCCAAAAGUAUAACAGAGACUGCUAUGCAUUUGGAAAUUUGAAGCAAGGGGUACCUUCUUUUUGAGCCCCUAUGUACAAGAAGAUCUUCAUUCUCUUGCUUUUGAACUUUGGGUGAAUGUUGGCCUAGAUGAAAGUUUCUGGGAUCUGUAGGCAGGAGUCUUAGCUUCUAUUCCUGGUCUGUUGACACCUGUUAGGGGACCUUGAUAAAUCAUUUGUCUCAAGGUCUUAGUAUCACCCUGGGUUUUAGUUAGCUCUGACAAUCUGGGAUUCCCAUGUGGCAAGGCAAGGUUAACUUUUUGUUAGUUCUUGGCAUCCAAGCUGCCUUGUAGACCCUAAAUUUGUGUUAAUAAGACUAAGGAUGGUCCUUUGCUGGAUCAGUCUUUGGUCCUUGCUGGACUCAUUGAUUUUUUUUUCUGUGCUUUCUUUAUCAAUUUUCAUUCAUGCAUGCAUCCAUUCAACAAAUAAUUACUGAGCAUCUGUGGUGUAGCAGGCAUUGUGCUCAACAGGACAGAAUCUCAAAUCCACUGAGCAGUCUCUUGGGGAGAUAGACAUAUAAUCAAACAAGCAGAAAUACAUUUGAUGAGAAGUUUAGCUGCUGUUAAUUUUUUUUGAGAGUUCAUUAGGUUGAUAGAACUCUAGUACUUUAUGUUCAUUUUUAAUUUUUUUAUUUGUUUCUUUGUUUUUUCUGGAAAGUGCUGUGGAUUGAGUUCAGGGUCUUGCACUUGCUAGGCAAGUGUUCUACACACAUAACCCCCCGCCUACCUUUCCUUAUUAAAAAGCAGUAUGAAGCAGGGUAUCUAACUCAGUGAUAGAGCGCUUGCCUCACAUGCAAGGAAAGGGGUCAUCUCAUGCCAUCCUUCUUCCUUCUCCUUUUUCAUCUGCUCUGCCUUUCUGUUUCCUCCAAUUUAUGCCCCCUUAGGCCCCAGAUGUCUCUCUUCCUCUGACUUCUCGUAUGACUGGUUCUUUUUAUUCUUCAAUACUCAGCAAUGUUAAGGGAAGGACCUUGAUUAAUCUAGGCCAACCACAGAGCCUUACACAAAGUAGCUGCUCAAUGCAUGUCUGUCGGAUGAAUAAAUUAACAGUGGCUAAAAUUCAGGAGUGAACCUGGGGGAAAUGAGGUACAUUAACAUUAGAGGGAUCUGGAGAGAAUCAGAGGACAGAGCAGUUCAUUCCACAGUUGGAGGGAGGCACUCAUGAUUUUUCUUGCUUAUAGUGAUAUCAAUAAUGACAGUGUAAGAGUCAGAGUACCUGGGCUCAAAUUGUCCCCUUUUUAAUUGUGUGACCAUGGGUAAAUAUCUCAGGUUCCUUAUCUGUAAAGGGGCUAAUAAUAGUAUCUACCACUCUGUGUUGUUGUGAGAAUUCAAUGAGAUGAUUGAUGCCUGUAUAGGCUGGCACAGAAUAAGUGUUUAAUAAAUAUUAGCUAUUAUUUUUAAUUAAAUAUUACUUUAUGCCAGGCAUCAUGCAAAGGGCUUUCAAAUGCCAAGUUCUUGAGUAAUCUUCACAAUAAAUAAUCUGGUGAAAAAGGAAUUUUAUUUCCCCAAAACUCAUGUUUCAUGGCUGAGGAAACAGGCUCAGAAUGAAAUCAUAGAAUCAUACAUUGACCCAAAGGGAGGUGGAAACACUAGGAAUUAAGCACAAGUUUGCCAGAUUUUAAUGCCUGUGCUCUUAACAAUUGCACCACACUGAACCCUAUUCCAUGUCUUGGAGUCCUAGCAAGAUAAAGAAAACCGGUGGCAGAGGCUGGUCAGAACCUAGGGGUCCUGCCCAAAGUCUUUUUAGCUCCCCUGAGUCUGCAGAGGGCCUUUCUGAAAAGGCAACAGAAAUGGUAUCUCCAGGUGAAGGGCACCUAAGAUUAGUCUCUGUACCUCUGACUGUGAAGAUGGAGCAGGAGACCUGGGAGACCUUGUGACCCAAGAGCCUGGUGAUCCACACCAACCUAUAGACCAGAAUUUUUAUAAUCAGUCAUCACAUUUUCUUCUGAUAUCUACAACCUUUGAGUGGGAUAAGAGACUUCAAUUAGAACACAAAUUAUCCCUUUGGACAAUUAAUCGUUAAUUAUCUUCCCACUCAGCAACCUUGGUUGAUACUACGAUAAGAGGAAAUAACUCUUGACUUAAUUGGUUGACAAUGAAGUCUCCUAAGGAAACAGUAUUUUGUAUGUACAUAGAUAAACUUGCACACUCCCUCUCAAUUGCAAACACGUGCCUUCCAUGGCACCUGGCUAUAUACUCUUGGGGAACAUAAUGACCUUGCGAGGAAGUGGCCCCAUGUGCAAGGACUCUUCUCUACCCAACUAUGCUCACACAGAAAACCAAACAACAAAAAAUCACACACACAGAAAAACAACAAAAAAUUGAAAAAGAAAACCUGCCAGACCUUCAGGUGACUCUUAAAUUUGGAAAGACAGAGACUAAGCAAAAAGCAAGAAUAGUAGUUUCCAUUCAUGGAAUGCUUACCAAAUGCUCAGAAUUGUGUUAAACACUUUACAUAUACUGUCUCACUUAAUCUUCAUGACAACCCUAUGAAACAAAUAGUAGCACCCCAAUUAUUUCCCACAGCAAGCAUGGUAAAACCCUGGUGGCCCAAUAAUGUGUAUAAACAACAGAGUUUGCUCAAGGUCACACAACUGGUAAAUCACCAAAGCAGACAUUGAAUGCAGAGUGUUCCCAUCUUAAACACUAAGAUCUUUUCCAUUUGCAUUUUGUUAAAGAAAAACAUUCUUCAAUGACACUUUUUAAAGCAAGGUAAGGAAGACUUUUUUUUCCAGCUCAUGGUGGUAGAUACAGGGAACACUGCAAAGGGGUUUUCAGCAGGAGAUUGGACUCAACUCUGAAUGCAGCAUGGGCAAGUGAGAAUUUAUAGCCAAGGAACAGGAUAGGGCUCAAUAGAAGGAACAUUACUAAGAAACAUCAGCGGUAAGGUGGAUACUGGCUAACCUAAUCUAAUGGAUUUGUGUUGAAGAUAGGCCUGAGGAUCAGACAUUAUCUAGGAAAUGACGAGGAUGAGGAACCUGAUCACAGCAGAAAAUGAUCAGAUAGAGCAAGGGUGAGGAAUUCUUGCAAAAAUGACUUAGCAGAAUUCUUUGCUAAAACUGGAUUUUAUAAGGAAGUACACAGGUGGACUUAGAAAAAGUUUCAGGAACCUGAAUAAAGUUUACACAUGUGAAGAAUCUUUAUCAAUUUCCAUGGCAGAGACAGAGGGAUGAAACAUGAAUUUAUUUUUUGCCAAACAUUAUCAUUCUCAGCUUUGAAGAUGCAGCUAUUUUUUAAAAAACAUUGUGGUAAAAUAAAUACAAAAUAAAAUUUAUUUAAGCUAUUUUUUUAUAUUAACCACUUUUUAAUUUUUCUUUUUUUUAACAGGACUCAAAUGUUAUUUGAGUUGAGAGUUUGGGACUGAAUCUUCCUGAGACAGCAGAUAUUUUCCUUUGCAAAAUUCCAGCUCAGUGACUCGAUGGAGAAAAGACAAUCUAUACUUUAAAAUGUAAAUGUCAUACCAUCUACAACAUUCCACAAUAUCUAAAAAUCUUCUGGCCUGUUGGGAGACAAGUGAUGUUCUUCUCUCAGUUCCCGACAGCUGGGAGGCCCAGAUUUGACAAACUGCUGAUUCCACCCCUUUAUACAGAGA
rnacentral:lncRNA from 1 species